UGGUAGGCAGUUUGACUGGGGCGGUCUCCUCCUAAAGAGUAACGGAGGAGUACGAAGGUGCGCUCAGACCGGUCGGAAAUCGGUCGUAGAGUAUAAAGGCAAAAGCGCGCUUGACUGCGAGACAGACACGUCGAGCAGGUACGAAAGUAGGUCAUAGUGAUCCGGUGGUUCUGAAUGGAAGGGCCAUCGCUCAACGGAUAAAAGGUACUCCGGGGAUAACAGGCUGAUACCGCCCAAGAGUUCAUAUCGACGGCGGUGUUUGGCACCUCGAUGUCGGCUCAUCACAUCCUGGGGCUGAAGCCGGUCCCAAGGGUAUGGCUGUUCGCCAUUUAAAGUGGUACGUGAGCUGGGUUUAAAACGUCGUGAGACAGUUUGGUCCCUAUCUGCCGUGGGCGUUGGAGAAUUGAGGG
rnacentral:rRNA from 1 species